rnacentral:rRNA from 1 species
GACGAACGCUGGCGGCGUGCUUAACACAUGCAAGUCGAACGGUGAAGGAGAGCUUGCUCUCCGGAUCAGUGGCGAACGGGUGAGUAACACGUGGGCAACCUGCCCCAGACUUCGGGAUAACGCUUCGAAAGAGGUGCUAAUACCGGAUACGAACUCCUUGGGCAUCCUCGGAGUUGGAAAGUUUUUCGGUCUGGGAUGGGCCCGCGGCCUAGCAGCUUGUUGGUGAGGUAACGGCUCACCACGGCGACGACGGGUAGCCGGCCUGAGAGGGCGACCGGCCACACUGGGACUGGGACACGGCCCAGACUCCUACGGGAGGCAGCAGUGGGGAAUAUUGCGCAAUGGGCGAAAGCCGGACGCAGCGACGCCGCGUGAGGGAUGACGGCCUUCGGGUUGUAAACCUCUUUCAGCAGGGAAGAAGCGAAAGUGACGGUACCUGCAGAAGAAGCACCGGCUAACUACGUGCCAGCAGCCGCCGCAG